UGGCGCACGGGUGAGUAACGCGUAAGUAAUCUGCCCUGGUAUCUGGGAUAACCCACCGAAAGGUGUGCUAAUACCGGAUACGCUGAUUUAUCAGGAAAGGUGGCCUCUUCAUGAAAGCUACUGUACCAGGAGGAGCUUGCGUACCAUUAGCUAGUUGGUAGGGUAAUGGCCUACCAAGGCAACGAUGGUUAGCGGGUCUGAGAGGAUGAUCCGCCACACUGGAACUGAAACACGGACCAGACUCCUACGGGAGGCAGCAGUGAGGAAUAUUGCGCAAUGGGGGAAACCCUGACGCAACGACGCCGCGUGGAUGAUGAAGGCCUUCGGGUCGUAAAAUCCUGUCAGGUGGAAAGAAAUGUAGUAUGCCUAAUACGUGUACUAUUUGACGGUACCACCAAAGGAAGCACCGGCUAACUCCGUGCCAGCAGCCGCGGUAAUACGGAGGGUGCAAGCGUUGUUCGGAAUUACUGGGCGUAAAGCGCGCGUAGGCGGUUUGUUAAGUCAGAUGUGAAAGUCCACGGCUCAACCGUGGAAGUGCAUUUGAAACUGACAGACUUGAGUACUGGAGGGGGUGGUGGAAUUCCCGGUGUAAAUGUGAAAUUCGUAGAUAUCGGGAGGAAUACCGGUGGCAAAGGCGACCACCUGGCCAGAUACUGACGCUGAGGUGCGAAAGCAUGGGGAGCAAACAGGAUUAGAUACCCUGGUAGUCCACGCCGUAAACGAUGUCAACUAGGUGUUGGGGCGGUUAAUCGUCUCAUUG
rnacentral:rRNA from 1 species